rnacentral:rRNA from 1 species
UGAGGAAUAUUGGUCAAUGGGCGGGAGCCUGAACCAGCCAUGCCGCGUGAAGGCGAGUGCCCUACGGGCGUUAAACUUCUUUUGUGCGGGAGCAAUAAGGGCCACGCGUGGCCCGAUGAGAGUACCGCACGAAUAAGCAUCGGCUAACUCCGUGCCAGCAGCCGCGGUAAUACGGAGGAUCCAAGCGUUAUCCGGAUUUAUUGGGUUUAAAGGGUGCGCAGGCGGAAUGUCAAGUCAGCGGUAAAAUUUCGGGGCUCAACCCCGUUGUGCCGUUGAAACUGGCGUUCUUGAGUGAGCGAGAAGUAUGCGGAAUGCGUGGUGUAGCGGUGAAAUGCGUAGAUAUCACACAGAACACCGAUUGCGAAGGCAUCUCACGAAUCCGCGAUUGACGCUGAUGCAC